ACGCUGGCGGAAUGCUUUACACAUGCAAGUCGAACGGCAGCACGGGAGCUUGCUCCUGGUGGCGAGUGGCGAACGGGUGAGUAACACGUCGGAACGUAUCCAUGUAAUGGGGGAUAACGCAGCGAAAGCUGUGCUAAUACCGCAUACGCCCUCCGGGGGAAAGCAGGGGAUCUUAGGACCUUGCGUUAUUGGAGCGGCCGACGUCUGAUUAGCUAGUUGGUGGGGUAAAGGCCUACCAAGGCGACGAUCAGUAGCUGGUCUGGGAGGAUGAUCAGCCACACUGGAACUGAGACACGGUCCAGACUCCUACGGGAGGCAGCAGUGGGGAAUUUUGGACAAUGGGGGCAACCCUGAUCCAGCCAUUCCGCGUGAGUGAAGAAGGCCUUCGGGUUGUAAAGCUCUUUCGGCAGGGAAGAAACGAUUCUGGCCAAUACCCGGGAUUAAUGACGGUACCUGAAGAAGAAGCACCGGCUAACUACGUGCCAGCAGCCGCGGUAAUACGUAGGGUGCGAGCGUUAAUCGGAAUUACUGGGCGUAAAGCGUGCGCAGGCGGUUUUUCAAGUCUGAUGUGAAAGCCCCGGGCUUAACCUGGGAACUGCGUUGGAAACUGAAAGACUAGAGUGCGGCAGAGGGGGGUAGAAUUCCACGUGUAGCAGUGAAAUGCGUAGAUAUGUGGAGGAAUACCGAUGGCGAAGGCAGCCCCCUGGGUCGACACUGACGCUCAUGCACGAAAGCGUGGGUAGCAAACAGGAUUAGAUACCCUGGUAGUCCACGCCCUAAACGAUGUCAACUAGUUGUUGGGGAGGGAGACCUCCUUAGUAACGCAGCU
rnacentral:rRNA from 1 species